rnacentral:rRNA from 1 species
UACGAAGGGGGCUAGCGUUGCUCGGAAUCACUGGGCGUAAAGCGCACGUAGGCGGACUCUUAAGUCGGUGGUGAAAUCCUGGAGCUCAACUCCAGAACUGCCUUCGAUACUGAGAGUCUCGAGUCCGGGAGAGGUGAGUGGAACUGCGAAGUGUAGAGGUGAAAUUCGUAGAUAUUCGCAAGAACACCAGUGGCGAAAGGCGGCUCACUGGCCCGGUACUGACGCUGAGGUGGCGAAAAGCGU